GGAGGAUGAUGAAGAAACCUUAUCAGCUGCCACAGAGAGGGAAGAUGCAGAGAGGCCUGCUGAAAGCCAUGCUGGAAAUUACAAUGGGGAAGAAGGUCCAUCAACCUCCACAGCACAGCUUACCUCAGUAAGAUGUUGUUCAGCAUUGACCCACAACUUACAAUGACACUAAAUAGACAUGGCACUGAAAUUCAAUGUCAUUUAUGUUCCUAUAGCUCCCUGUGAAACAACUUUACAAGGUAUAUUUAGAAUCUCAAAUAAACAAAUCACACCUAGAAAUGGAGCACAUAAGGCUGCAGAUCACCAAAACAGAAAAGGAAAUACAACUGCUGGACCAUCAGUUAAAGGAAAUAAAGAAGACCUCAUAAAAUGA